UUCCCCUUUUGUGUUUUUAAUCAGGCCUAAUUCCAGUAAUUGACUAGGCAGAAUUUAGGUGCUUUUGUCCAAAAUGUGUGAUGACGCUGCUCAGCUGCUGCCUGACUUCUUGGGAAAUCUGCUCAGAGGCGAGAGUGGCAGAGAAGCAGAGAAAAGCUGAGGAUGCGCAAGCUUGAGUGUGGAAUUGUGGCUUGGUCUCUACUACUGACAGUAGACAAUGAAUUUUGCAAAUUCAGAAUUAAAUGGGAGAAUAUCAUUACUAGGACUCUUAGGCCUGAAGAUUGUCUGGUCUGACUUCAUGUGUGGCAAGCCAGAGAGUGAAGGAGUAUAGCUGCUCCUAUUCCAAAGCCCUUGUAAGGCAAGGAGGAGACUACAGAGUUUAAGAAACCUGACCUAAGGAAGAGUGAAUAAAGAAAGGUUGUUAAAAUCCUGCAUGCAAAAUGCGAAGGGAAGAUUUUCAAGGUCUUUAGAAGAUGUUGAGGCAAAGCUUACCAAAGGACUGCAUGCACCUAAAUCACUCCAGAAGACCUUCUCAAGAAAAUAACUUUUGAACUGUAUGAAUACUUCCUUUUCUUAUAGACAAACUCUUUGGCAUCUUCAACGUCCAUACUGAAAAUAAAUGCCAUCUAGAUGAAGAUCUUGCUUUGUAUCUGUGGACUUCAUUUUGAGUUGGAACUCUGAAGCAAUGUUUAAAGGGCACUCCUGAAUCAAUGAAAAAAGACCAUCUUGGCCCUGCCUUGUCCUCUGCCUGGUUCCUGGGCUGGAGAAGGGUAAGGCUGAGGACCACCCAGGACCUUAGUACCCAUGCAGCCUUUGCACUGAUCACCACAAUGCCAGAGCACUUGGAGUCACUAGGAAGAGUAGAACCACAUGCUAACAAAGCUUGUUCAUUGGUGGUGCUUGCCUGCUGGGUUGUUGGUUUAAGUUAUAGAAACAGUGAUCUCCACCGUCUUAAUUCCCUCAUAGCCUUAAUUAUGAGUGUUAACCAGUCCCUUUGUGCUGGGGCACGGGCUCCUGGAAUACCAGUUCUUACACCUAAUUUGUGCAACAUUCUUUUUUGCCGCACAAACCCCAUGCUGAAUUUCAAGUUCAAAAUAUUUUACCCUUUUACUCUGCACAGCUUUGAUUUCUGCAUGCAUAAAGCUACAGACUGUGUAAAAAAAAAAACAGAGACAAUGAUUUUUGGGAACAUCCUUCAUACCUUUCAUGUUCUGUGAAUACUCCUUAGUUUCAUCCAGAGGAUCUCAAAAGAUAUCAGCCAGAAAAUUUCUCUUGAAGUCUUGAUUAUUUUAGGUAGCCACCUUUGCAGGUGAGUAUUCAGUUCUUGGCUUUUUGCUCAGCGCCCUGGAAGCCUGUCUGAACCGAGAAACGUUGGCCGUGGCAUGGUGUUGGAACUGAGGCUGAAACUGUACAUUUUUUCACUGUGUUCCUGGACUUUUGCUAAGCUUUGGUUUUGUUUCUCUGUGACCUGCAAAAUUUGUCUGUCCCUUUGUGACAGCGGUGGGAGGCAGGGGAGGUCAAAGCUGGGUUUUUGGUCUUUGGUGGUUCUUAUGACCAUAACUGUGGAGCUUUGUACAGAUUUUCAGAAGUAGUCAUGUCUCAAUAAAAGGGGAUGUGUUCCAGAUCAGCACUUUAUAUGCACUUUACAAAAAUUAUAAAAUCUGAAUGCCAUGGUGAGACUCUAUAUGAUCCAGGUAAGACGCUGCCUCCUACCUGUCACCUCACUUAUUGUAUGGACUUUGCCAUAUGUGAUACUCUGCAAGCCUCAAGAGUAAAUCCACUACAGGGCAACAUUUACUGGCUUUUAAAAGGACUCUGAUUAAUGACAAAGCCCUGUGAAUAAACCUUUUUUGAUGUCUCUUCUGUCUUGUUUAUUCAGAUUGCUGCCAAAGCUAUCUCUCCUGUCCUGACAAUA